AGAAGAGUCAGUGCUAUUAACUGCUGAGCCAUUUCUCCAGCACCCAAAGACAUAUUUUUGACUCAGGAAGAACUAUGACAAGAGGCUCCAGAGAUUACUAUCGCACCAGAAGGAACAAACCCAGCUAGGCAUGAUUCUGGCAGACGUUUCUGUAAAAACCAGGAUUGGAGAAACUUCUUCAGGACAUGUUUUGUCUCCAGGGUGAUACCGCAAGCCAGAAACAUCGUAAGUAUUCCAAUACAAUGCUUUCUUCUACUCCACCAAAUAAAUUCCAUUUUUGCCAGAAAAGAUGGCGUGUGUACAUUAGUCUCAGACCCAAGAUGGAUGCCUCUGGAGAUUCAUUAGACUCCUGGAUGCCCUAUAUCCAUCAUUCGGCUUCCCAUAAUAUUAGUAUCCACAAAACUAAGACAUUGGACGCUAAUGAUGACGCUCACUGGACUGUCAGGUGUUCUUUUCAUUAAUAAAAGAAGAACUAUUCAGCCCACA